AACACGUGGGCAAUCUGCCCUGCACUCUGGGACAAGCCCUGGAAACGGGGUCUAAUACCGGAUACUGAUCGCCUUGGGCAUCCUUGGUGAUCGAAAGCUCCGGCGGUGCAGGAUGAGCCCGCGGCCUAUCAGCUUGUUGGUGAGGUAAUGGCUCACCAAGGCGACGACGGGUAGCCGGCCUGAGAGGGCGACCGGCCACACUGGGACUGAGACACGGCCCAGACUCCUACGGGAGGCAGCAGUGGGGAAUAUUGCACAAUGGGCGAAAGCCUGAUGCAGCGACGCCGCGUGAGGGAUGACGGCCUUCGGGUUGUAAACCUCUUUCAGCAGGGAAGAAGCGAAAGUGACGGUACCUGCAGAAGAAGCGCCGGCUAACUACGUGCCAGCAGCCGCGGUAAUACGUAGGGCGCGAGCGUUGUCCGGAAUUAUUGGGCGUAAAGAGCUCGUAGGCGGCUUGUCGCGUCGGUUGUGAAAGCCCGGGGCUUAACCCCGGGUCUGCAGUCGAUACGGGCAGGCUAGAGUUCGGUAGGGGAGAUCGGAAUUCCUGGUGUAGCGGUGAAAUGCGCAGAUAUCAGGAGGA
rnacentral:rRNA from 1 species